CUUCCGUCUUCCACUAUAAAUCUGUAAUUUCAAUGGCGCUUCCGAUUUCCCGCAGGCGACUUCACACUCCGUCUUCUUUUCUUCUUCACGAAUCUUCGUAACUUCAUCCAUUGGCAUCUUCUGCUACUAUUUACACAGCACCAUCAAUUCUUUGUUCGAAGAUAAACUUGGAGCCUUGGCUUUGUUUUACCAAAACAUCAAAAUUCAACAAAAGCGAGGAAGCGGCUAAUAUGUAAUGUCUCGUCAGCAAUGUGUUUGCUCGAUUCAGGUGAUUCUACCAAUUUUUAUCUUGGGCAUUAGAUUCUACCGAACAAGUAAAUAAUUCAAACCCCAUUAAGCUAGAGAAGCUAAUGCUCGAUAAAGCAUUCUCUUUGGAAAUUAGUGAUCCCAUUCACCUUUGAACUCGCCAAUGUCAAAUGGUACACGUAAGAGACGCUCUGAACUUACUAAACCGUCGACUUGGCUACUCAAUUGCAUAAACCAUGAUCCGAUAAAAAAUGUUAUCCCAGUUGGCCCUCGUUUCCAAGUCAAUGUUCCCAAAUGGGAGGGCGCAAUUAACAAAAGUCGUCUUCUUCUUGGAUAUAAAUGGGAUGAUGAUAAUUCCAAGUGGUUGGGUUCCCGUGUUUGGCCAAUUGGCUCUCGUAAUAUGACAACCACCGAGAAAGAAAUUGGCGAGGGGAGGCCCAACUCAUGUUCUUGCGCCCUCCCGGGAUCGGUUGAUUGCAUCAAACAUCAUAUAUUGGAAAGAAGGCUACUUUUGAAGCGCGAGUUGGGGGGCGUAUUUUUUACUUGGAAGUUUGAUGAGAUGGGUGAACGAGUUUCAAAGUCAUGGUCGAUGAAGGAUCGCAAAACUUUUGAAUCAAUAGUUAAAAUGAAGCCAACAUCUGAGGGGAGGGACUUUGUGAGGCGUGCCUUGAGGCAUUUUCCCAACAAAUGCCGUAAAGGCAUUGUUAGCUACUACUUUAAUGUCUAUGUUCCCGAUCGUUUGAGUCUUCAAACAAGGCUGCCGUCCACGAAACAAGUGGACACUGAUGAUGAGGAUGAGGUAUUGGAUUGUAAGUACUUGGGGAUGAAGAAGAGAUCCGAAAAAGGGAAGAUGCUCAAGUCAUAAUUCGAAAAAUAUGAAAUGCUCUCUAUGAUCGUAGAAAGGUGAUGUAAUACGAUUUGUUUCCUAAUCGGUAUACGAUUGAUGACAUGUGUUUCACCACGGAUAGCUUCGCAACAAAAUUUUGUGAGAAUGUUACCUUGGAAUGGAGGGCACGAUCAACAAGUGACCGUGUUAGUGUUCAACAAUGGUAUUUUGUGUGAGGCGGCGACAUAGUUUUAUUGAUGAAUAGUGCUAGUAUUGGCAAAGAAGGUGUUGAAUUAAUUUCACCACCGGUAUCUUAUCGAAUUAUUUGAAUGUGACUUUGAAAUUGAUUAAGAAACAAAAUUGUGAAAUGAAAUUGGGCGCAAUGUGAGUUUGAUUUCGCGUGGAAGUUCAUAAAGGAUCAACGAGGAAGAAAAUGCAUUUCUUGCCAUGUCUUGAUCAUACAUCCAAUGUUCAAUGUGUGGCUCCUUACAAUCUAUACAAUUUUGCCAAAAAGAAACUCAUGAUCGAUCAAGCACAGCUUUUUUAGGUUUCGAUUUAUGAUAUUUGUAAUCGGUCUUUAAAGAUCUAGUACCGUGUGUUCUUGUAGGAACUUUGAUCUCU